rnacentral:rRNA from 1 species
UACGAAGGGGGCUAGCGUUGUUCGGAAUCACUGGGCGUAAAGGGCGCGUAGGCGGCUUUGUAAGUCGGGGGUGAAAGCCUGUGGCUCAACCACAGAAUUGCCUUCGAUACUGCAUGGCUUGAGACCGGAAGAGGUAAGUGGAACUGCGAGUGUAGAGGUGAAAUUCGUAGAUAUUAGGAAGAACACCAGUGGCGAAGGCGGCUCACUGGUCCGGUACUGACGCGUGAUGUGCGAAAGCGUGGGGAGCAAACAGG